rnacentral:rRNA from 1 species
GUUGAACGCUGGCGGCAUGCCUUACACAUGCAAGUCGAACGGCAGCACGGGUGCUUGCCCCUGGUGGCGAGUGGCGCACGGGUGAGUAAUACAUCGGAACAUGUCCUGUAGUGGGGGCUAGCCCGGCGAAAGCCGGAUUAAUACCGCAUACGAUCUACUGGGGAAACCGGGGGACCUUCGAGCCUCACGCUCUGGGGUUGGCCUAUGGGUGAUUUGCUCGUUGGUGGGGUAAAGGCCUACCCAGGGGACGAGAAGUAUCUGGUCGGAGAGGAUGACCAGCCACACUGGGAGUGAGACACGGCCCAGACUCCUACGGGAGGCAGCAGUGGGGAAUUUUGGAGAAUGGGCGAAAGCCUGAUCCAGCAAGGCCGCGUGUGUGAAGAAGGCCUUCGGGUUGUAAAGCACAUUUGUCCGGAAAGAAAUCCUUGGCCCUAAGACGGGCGGGGGAUGACGGUACCGGAAGAAGAAGCACCGGCUAACUACGUG